rnacentral:rRNA from 1 species
CCUACGGGUGGCAGCAGUGGGGAAUCUUCCGCAAUGGGCGAAAGCCUGACGGAGCAACGCCGCGUGAUCGAAUGAAGGCCUUCGGGUUGUAACGAUCUGUUGACAGGGACGAAUAAGCCAUGCGAAUAGUUUGGUGUAUGACGGUACCUGUUUAGAAAGCUCCGGCUAACUACGUGCCAGCAGCCGCGGUAAUACGUAGGGAGCAAGCGUUGUCCGGCAUUACUGGGCGUAAAGGGCGCGUAGGUGGGUGCGUAAGUCAGGUGUGAAAACUCUGGGCUCAACCUGGAGACUGCACUUGAAACUGGGUAUCUUGAGGGCAGGAGAGGAAAGUGGAAUUCCGAGUGUAGCGGUGAAAUGCGUAGAUAUUAGGAGGAACACCAGUGGCGAAGGCGAAUUUCUGGACUGUACCUGACGCUGAGGCGCGAAAGCGUGGGUAGCGAACGGGAUUAGAUACCCUAGUAGUC